rnacentral:rRNA from 1 species
AUUGAACGCUGGCGGCAGGCCUAACACAUGCCAGUCGAGCGGAUGAAGGGAGCUUGAUCCUGGAUUCAGCGGCGGACGGGUGAGUAAUGCCUAGGAAUCUGCCUGGUAGUGGGGGAUAACGUCCGGAAACGGGCGCUAAUACCGCAUACGUCCUGAGGGAGAAAGUGGGGGAUCUUCGGACCUCACGCUAUCAGAUGAGCCUAGGUCGGAUUAGCUAGUUGGUGGGGUAAAGGCCUACCAAGGCGACGAUCCGUAACUGGUCUGAGAGGAUGAUCAGUCACACUGGAACUGAGACACGGUCCAGACUCCUACGGGAGGCAGCAGUGGGGAAUAUUGGACAAUGGGCGAAAGCCUGAUCCAGCCAUGCCGCGUGUGUGAAGAAGGUCUUCGGAUUGUAAAGCACUUUAAGUUGGGAGGAAGGGCAGUAAGUUAAUACCUUGCUGUUUUGACGUUACCAACAGAAUAAGCACCGGCUAACUUCGUG